rnacentral:rRNA from 1 species
UAAUACGGAGGAUCCAAGCGUUAUCCGGAUUUAUUGGGUUUAAAGGGUGCGUAGGCGGCUUAUUAAGUCAGGGGUGAAAGACGGUGGCUCAACCAUCGCAGUGCCUUUGAUACUGAUGAGCUUGAAUCUACCUGAGGUAGGCGGAAUGUGACAAGUAGCGGUGAAAUGCAUAGAUAUGUCACAGAACACCAAUUGCGAAGGCAGCUUACUAAAGUAAAAUUGACGCUGAGGCACGAAAGCGUGGGGAUCAAACAGGAUUAGAUACCCUGGUAGUCCACGCCCUAAACGAUGAACACUCGAUGUUGGCGAUAUACAGUCAGCGUCUAAGCGAAAGCGUUAAGUGUUCCACCUGGGGAGUACGCCCGCAAGGGUGAAACUUAAAUGAAUUGACGG